rnacentral:rRNA from 1 species
GAUGAACGCUGGCGGUAGGCCUAACACAUGCAAGUCGAACGGACUCUUCGGAGUCAGUGGCGGACGGGUGAGUAACGCGUGAGAAUCUGCCUUCAGGACGGGGAUAACAGCGGGAAACUGCUGCUAAUACCCGAUGUGCCGGAAGGUGAAAGAAAUUCGCUUGAAGAGGAGCUCGCGUCUGAUUAGCUAGUUGGUAGGGUAAGAGCCUACCAAGGCAUCGAUCAGUAGCUGGUCUGAGAGGAUGAGCAGCCACACUGGGACUGAGACACGGCCCAGACUCNUACGGGAGGCAGCAGUGGGGAAUUUUCCGCAAUGGGCGAAAGCCUGACGGAGCCAUACCGCGUGAGGGAAGAAGGCUCUUGGGUUGUAAACCUCUUUUCUCAGGGAAGAAGAAAGUGACGGUACCUGAGGAAUCAGCAUCGGCUAACUCCGUGCCAGCAGCCGCGAUAAUACGGAGGAUGCAAGCGUUAUCCGGAAUUAUUGGGCGUAAAGCGUCCGCAGGUGGCGACUCAAGUCUGCUGUCAAAGCCCAGGGCUUAACCCUGGAUCGGCAGUGGAAACUGAGUCGCUAGAGUACGGUAGGGGUAGAGGGAAUUCCCAGUGUAGCGGUGAAAUGCGUAGAGAUUGGGAAGAACACCAGUGGCGAAAGCGCUCUACUGGACCGUAACUGACACUCACAGGACGAAAGCUAGGGUAGCGAAUGGGAUUAGAUACCCCAGUAGUCUUAGCUGUAAACGAUGGAUACUAGGCGUGGCUUGUAUCGACCCGAGCCGUGCCGAAGCUAACGCGUUAAGUAUCCCGCCUGGGA